rnacentral:rRNA from 1 species
AACGUAGGAGACAAACGUUAUCCGGAGUUACUGGGCGUAAAGGGCGUGUAGGCGGUUUGUUAAGUCUGGCGUGAAAGCUCUCGGCUAAACCGGGAGAGGUCGUUGGAUACUGGCAAACUAGAGGAUGGUAGAGGCGUGUGGAAUUCCGGGUGUGGUGGUGAAAUGCGUAGAGAUCCGGAGGAACACCAGUGGCGAAGGCGACACGCUGGGCCAUACCUGACGCUAAAGCGCGACAGCAUGGGGAGCAAACGGG